rnacentral:lncRNA from 1 species
GUUGUUUUGGGGCUUUUGUGGAGGUUUUUAAGCAUAUUUCCCUCUCGCCCCGCUGGAGCGCUAUGCAAAGGCACGGCUGAGAGCCGGGGGGGGGGGGGGGGGGGGGGGACGACACGGGGCGGGCCCGCGGGUCGCAGUCUCACUCCGCAGGCAGCGGGGGUGGGGGGGGGGGGGCGCAGCGGGACAGCCUCCCUGGGGCCAGCCUCCCUCGGGACCAACCUCCCCAGGACCCAGCCUCCCCAGGGGCCCAGCCUCCCCGGGGGACCCUUCCAGGCGCUUCCCCACGGGGCUGCGGCAGCGGCGACCGGGCCCCUCGCCGUCCGUGCCCCAGGCCCUGGGAGCGCAUCGCACCCGGCGGCCUCGCGGGCGGGGGUCCCGGGCUCCCGGGCAGGUCCCGAUGGCCGCGGGGACCCCCGGACAGUCCGCUCGAAUCGGUCCGGUAUUUGGCAAAGAACCCGCGCGGCCCCGCGGGAGGCGGGGGCGGGAGGCGGGGGGCGGGGGCCCCAGGCGCCGAGGCUCGGGCGCGGGCGGCCGCCGGGCGCGGGGCGCGGGGCGCGGGGCGCGGGGCGCGGGGAGCGCGGGCGCCAGGAAGGCGGCGCGGCCGUGGAGCGCCACAGCUGCGGCCCCGCCGCUCCCCCGCCCCGAGCAGGUGGCCCGCCCGCCCGCCCCCGGCCCUCCUGCCUCCCCGGCCCCUCCUGCCCCUCCUGCCUCCCCGGCCCCUCCUGCCCCGCCCCUCCGGCCCCGGGCCCAGCGCCCCGUCCUCCCCGCAGGCACCUGGGCUCGCACCCCGGGCCCCGCCGCCAAGUCCCCGCGCGGACCGAGCGGAAAGUUGCGCUCACGACGCCUCCCGGUGCUGCGCGACGCCCCGCACCAGCCCCGCGCUCCCCCCGGGACGUACCCGCGAGCUGCCCGCCGAGCCGGGGGGGGGGGGUCCUAGCGCCGGGGUCGCCCGGCCUCCCCGCCGCCGAGCGCUGCGGCGCGGGCUCCUCCGGCCCCGGGGACGCGGCCGCGUGUGAGCGGAGGAGCCGGGGCGCAGCCGGGAGCGGCCGCCGGGACCCGCCCCCCGCGCCGAGCGCUCCCUCCCCGCCCCGCCUCCGCCCCGGGCCGGGCUCCGCGGUGUGCGCCCGCGGGGGCUCCGGGGGGCCUCCAUCCCCGCGCCCCGGCCGAGGGCUGGUCGCGGGGUCCGCCGCGGGGUCUCCGGGGCCCGGGGUGCCGGCCGGAGCCUCGCUGCCCCCGCGCUUCGCAGGCGCCAGGACCGGGCGGCGGCGCGGUGGGCGCGCCCCGAGGGCUCAGGCUUCCCGGGCCACGCGGCCGCCCCUAGAUCUAACCGCGGCUGAGCGCGGAAGGUACAGGGCGCCGAGGCUUCUUAUCUGCGCCCCGAGUUUGGGUCUUCGUGUUAUUAGCAGAUCGUUUUUCACAGAUUGGGAAGCAGCGUGCGGUGCUGCCAACUUUUGGACCCAGAGAAAUAGACAACAGUGCAUAUCCGGUUUCAUCUAA